AUGAUCAGUUCUGAAAAGGCAGGGUCUGCUGAAAGCCCUUUUAAAAAUGGCUACUAGCUUUCUAUAGCUGAAGCACGUCUAGGCUCAGGAAGAAUCGCAGCAUGCACUCUGGUAGAGUGCAAAAGGAGUUUUAUCCUGCCUGAGUGGGCAUUACCUGCAGCAGUCUCGUUCAGACCAGAUACCCGGCCCAGUCCAGACUGAUAACUGUUUCCUGGAACAUGAGCUGACAAGAUUCCAAAUAUUAUUUUAGUGCCCCUGAAAUUAAGAUGGGAAACUAAGGCACAGACAGGAGAAGCGACUUGCCCAAGAUCAGCCAGCCGGCAGUGGCAGAGACAGGAAUAGAAUCCAGAUUCCCCCGUCCACUGAUCUAUCCACUAGGCCAUUUAGGAAUUUCUAGUUCUAAGUCCGAUGUUCAUCUUCUAGGUCACUCAGGCAAUAUUGACUCUGGCCUUUUUCUCUCUUUUUGUCUUAGUUUCCCUAGCUGCAUAAAGGAAUAGUACUACAAUUGGCCUAUGUUGCAAAGUGUUAUGAGAAAUAGUGUUUGUAUAGUGCUUUGAAAAGCGUUUGUGUGUCUUGACCCGAGCUGCAUGUUGCUGUGAAGUGAUAUUACUGUUAAAAAACAAAGUCCUGAUGCACUGAAAUUACAAUGCCAGUUUUAAUUCAAUGAGCAGCCUUUUUGACUUGUAUACAUUUGUUGUA